ACUUGGGAGAAUGCUUCUUAUUAUAAUAAAAAUGAAUGUAUGUUUUUAAUAUAGUUAAGAAUUCAUUAAACUUGAAUAUAAUUCUAGGUAAGAUAUUGAUAAUGACAAAGUUUUAUCUAUUUGUCUUGACCAAAUCUUGUGCCAGCAGUCGCGGCAACACAAGGAAGACAAGUGUUAUUCAUCUUAAAUCGGUUUAAGGGGUACCUAGACGGUAAAUUAGGCCAUAGUAGGAACGUUUUUACUAGAGUUAUACAUGCAUGGGGAUUGUGUAAGUAUUACCAGAGUAGAGAUGAAAUUUUUUGAUACUGUUAAGACUGGUAAAGGCGAAAGCAAACCUUUAUAUAUUAACUGACGUUGAGGGACGAAGGCUUGGGGAGCAAACAGGAUUAGAUACCCUAAUAGUCCAGGCAGAGAAUUAUGAAUGUCAUAGAUUAGAUUAUAUAUAA
rnacentral:rRNA from 1 species